rnacentral:lncRNA from 1 species
GGGGGGACAAGGAAAAGGGGGUGGGGAUUCAUUUGGGAUGGGAAUGGAGGAGGGAUCGGGAUGGGAAUGGAGGAGGGAUCGGGAUGGAGAAGGGAUGGGAUUGGGUGGAAAGGGGAUGGACAUGGAAGAAGGACGGGGAUAGGGUUGGGGUUGGAAUGGGAAUGGGAUGGACAUAGGGAUAGGGGCGGGGAUGGGGGUCGGGAUUGGGAUUGGGAUGGGAUGGACUGGGAGGAAGGACAGGGAAUAGGGCUGGGAAUGGGAUGGACAAGAACAAGGGAUGGGGUUGGGUGGAAAUGGGAUGGGCACGGAGGCGUUAUGGGGAUAGGGUUGGGAGGGGAACGGGAUGGACACGGGGGGAGGACGGGGUGGAGGUGAUGGCGGUGGGACGGGACCGGGUUUGGGCUGGUGAAAAGGCCAGGACCAUGCGUGUCCCCCCCCCGCCACGCAGGGAACAGCACCGCCUCCCACAUGGGCAUGGCUCUGGCCCGCGACGGCAACACCACCAUCGCCUGCGGCCCCGGGCUGACGCGCGAGUGCGACCGCAACGUCUACGUCAGCGGCGUCUGCCUGGUCCUCGGCCCCGACCUGCGGCCACAGGAGGAGCUGAACCCCGGCUACCAGGUGUGCCUGCCGGGCAUGGUGGACCUCGCCUUCCUCUUCGACGGCUCCAACAGCAUGAACUCGGCGCAGUUCGGGGCCAUCCGCGACUUCAUGGUGGAAGUGAUGGAGCAGCUGAGUAACAGCUCCAUCCGCGUGAGGAGGGGGCGCGGGGUGGGGGCAGCAGGGGCUGUAGGGCGAU